rnacentral:tRNA from 1 species
GUUUAAAUAGCUUAAAUUUUAAAGCUUAACAUUGAAAAUGUUAUUAUGGGUGUGUAUCCUUUAAACA